UCAUUGGGGCAGCCUUAACAUGCAAGUCGAACGGCAGCACGGAGCUUGCUCUGGUGGCGAGUGGCGAACGGGUGAGUAAUAUAUCGGAACGUACCCUGGAGUGGGGGAUAACGUAGCGAAAGUUACGCUAAUACCGCAUACGAUCCAUGGAUGAAAGUGGGGGAUUCGCAAGAACCUCAUGCUCCUGGAGCGGCCGAUAUCUGAUUAGCUAGUUGGUGGGGUAAAGGCCUACCAAGGCAUCGAUCAGUAGCUGGUCUGAGAGGACGACCAGCCACACUGGAACUGAGACACGGUCCAGACUCCUACGGGAGGCAGCAGUGGGGAAUUUUGGACAAUGGGCGCAAGCCUGAUCCAGCAAUGCCGCGUGAGUGAAGAAGGCCUUCGGGUUGUAAAGCUCUUUUGUCAGGGAAGAAACGGGGUUGGCUAAUAUCUGAUCCUAAUGACGGUACCUGAAGAAUAAGCACCGGCUAACUACGUGCCAGCAGCCGCGGUAAUACGUAGGGUGCAAGCGUUAAUCGGAAUUACUGGGCGUAAAGCGUGCGCAGGCGGUUUUGUAAGACUGACGUGAAAUCCCCGGGCUCAACCUGGGAAUGGCGUUGGUGACUGCAAGGCUAGAGUUUGGCAGAGGGGGGUAGAAUUCCACGUGUAGCAGUGAAAUGCGUAGAUAUGUGGAGGAACACCGAUGGCGAAGGCAGCCCCCUGGGUCAAAACUGACGCUCAUGCACGAAAGCGUGGGGAGCAAACAGGAUUAGAUACCCUGGUAGUCCACGCCCUAAACGAUGUCUACUAGUUGUCGGGUCUUAAUUGACUUGGUAACGCAGCUAACGCGUGAAGUAGACCGCCUGGGGAGUACGGUCGCAAGAUUAAAACUCAAAGGAAUUGACGGGGACCCGCACAAGCGGUGGAUGAUGUGGAUUAAUUCGAUGCAACGCGAAAAACCUUACCUACCCUUGACAUGGCAGGAAUCCCGGAGAGAUUUGGGAGUGCUCGAAAGAGAACCUGCACACAGGUGCUGCAUGGCUGUCGUCAGCUCGUGUCGUGAGAUGUUGGGUUAAGUCCCGCAACGAGCGCAACCCUUGUCAUUAGUUGCUACGAAAGGGCACUCUAAUGAGACUGCCGGUGACAAACCGGAGGAAGGUGGGGAUGACGUCAAGUCCUCAUGGCCCUUAUGGGUAGGGCUUCACACGUCAUACAAUGGUACAUACAGAGGGCCGCCAACCCGCGAGGGGGAGCUAAUCCCAGAAAGUGUAUCGUAGUCCGGAUUGUAGUCUGCAACUCGACUACAUGAAGUUGGAAUCGCUAGUAAUCGCGGAUCAGCAUGUCGCGGUGAAUACGUUCCCGGGUCUUGUACACACCGCCCGUCACACCAUGGGAGCGGGUUUUACCAGAAGUAGGUAGCUUAACCGCAAGGAGGGCGCUAUCACGGUAGAUUACGG
rnacentral:rRNA from 1 species